rnacentral:rRNA from 1 species
ACCCAGACUCCUACGGGAGGCAGCAGUGGGGAAUAUUGGGCAAUGGACGCAAGUCUGACCCAGCAACGCCGCGUGAAGGAAGAAGGCUUUCGGGUUGUAAACUUCUUUUAAGGGGGAAGAGUAGAAGACGGUACCCCUUGAAUAAGCCACGGCUAACUACGUGCCAGCAGCCGCGGUAAUACGUAGGGGGCGAGCGUUAUCCGGAUUCACUGGGUGUAAAGGGAGCGUAGACGGCCAUGCAAGCCAGGGGUGAAAGCCCGGGGCCCAACCCCGGGACUGCCCUUGGAACUGCAUGGCUGGAGUGCGGGAGGGGCAGGCGGAAUUCCUGGUGUAGCGGUGAAAUGCGUAGAUAUUAGGAGGAACACCAGUGGCGAAGGCGGCUUGCUGGACUGUAACUGACGUUGAGGCUCGAAAGCGUGGGGAGCAAACAGGAUUAGAUACCCUAGUAC